AAAAGCUGUUUGACAGCAUCUGCAACAAGUGGUUCACAAACACGUCCAUCAUCUACUUCCUCAACAAGAAGGAGCUGUUGGAGGAGAAGAUCACACACAGCCCCUGACCAUCUGCUUCCCUGAGUACACAGGGUCCAACAAGUAUGAUGAGGCAGCCAGCUACAACCAGAGUAAGUCUGAGGACCUGAAUAAGCACAAAGACACCAAGGAGAUCUACACACACUUCACAUGCGCCACCGAUACCAAGAACGUAGUUCGUGUUUGAUGCCAUCACCGACGUCAUCAUCAAGAACAACCUGAAGGACUGGGGCCUCU
rnacentral:lncRNA from 1 species